AGAUGUGAGGGCCAUCUGGCUGCAACAUCUGUCACCCCAUUGAUCACCAGGAUUGAUUCAGCUGAUCUGGCUGGUUAGGCAGGUGUCCCCUUCCUCCCUCACCAUUCCAAGUGUGUCCCUCCUGAAGCUGCACACUCGAAGAGGAUGACCUUCCCCAAUAGAGGAGGACCGUUCUUCAGUCAAGGGUAUAUGAGUAGCUGCACUCCCCUGCUAGAACCUCCAAACAAACUCUCAAACUCUUGGCCUCAAAUGAUACUCCUGCUUUGGCCUCCCAAAGUGCUAGGAUUAGAGACAUGAGCCACCAUGCCCAGCCAACUCCUGGAAUUUUAACAGUU
ensembl:misc_RNA 7SK 7SK RNA